rnacentral:rRNA from 1 species
UACAGAGGGUGCGAGCGUUAAUCGGAAUUACUGGGCGUAAAGGGCGCGUAGGCGGCCUUCUAAGUCGAACGUGAAAUCCCUGGGCUCAACCCAGGAACUGCGUCCGAUACUGGGAGGCUUGAAUCCGGGAGAGGGAUGUGGAAUUCCAGGUGUAGCGGUGAAAUGCGUAGAUAUCAGGAGGAACACCGGUGGCGAAGGCGGCUUUCUGGACAGUUACCGACGCUGAGGCACGAAAGCUAGGGGAGCAAACAGG